rnacentral:rRNA from 1 species
CUGGGAAAUUGCCCGGUAGAGGGGGCUAUCCAUUGGAAACGAUGGCUAAUAUCGCAUAAUCUCUUAAGAACAAAGAGGGGGACCUUCGGGCCUCGCGCUAGCGGAUAUGCCCAGGUGGGAUUAGCUAGUUGGUGAGGUAAGGGCUCACCAAGGCGACAAUCCCUAUCUGGUCUGAGAGGAUGAUCAGCCACACUGGAACUGAGACACGGUCCAGACUCCUACGGGAGGCAGCAGUGGGGAAUAUUGCACAAUGGGCGCAAGCCUGAUGCACCCAUGCCGCGUGUAUGAAGAAGGCCUUCGGGUUGUAAAGCACUUUCAUUAAGGAGGAAGGUGGUAGAGUUAAUACCUUAUAUCAUUUGACGUUACCUACAGAAGAAGCACCGGCUAACUCCGUGCCAGCAGCCGCGGUAAUACGGAGGGUGCGCGCGUUAAUCGGAAUUACUGGGCGUAAAGCGCAUGCAGGUGGUUUGUUAAGACAAAUGUGAAAGCCCCGGGCUCAACCUAGGAAUUGCAUUUGAAACUGACAAACUAUAGUACUGUAGAGGGGGGUAGAAUUU